rnacentral:snRNA from 1 species
GUGCUCACUUUGGCAGCACUUAUACUAAAAUUGGAAUGAUAUAGAGAAGGUUAGCAUGGUGCCUGCGCAAGGAUGACAUGCAAAUUUGUGAAGCGUUCCAUAUUUUA